rnacentral:rRNA from 1 species
GAUGAACGCUGGCGGCGUGCUUAACACAUGCAAGUCGAACGGGAAAUAUUUCAUUGAGACUUCGGUGGAUUUGAUUUAUUUCUAGUGGCGGACGGGUGAGUAACGCGUGGGUAACCUGCCUUAUACAGGGGGAUAACAGUCAGAAAUGGCUGCUAAUACCGCAUAAGCGCACAGAGCUGCAUGGCUCAGUGUGAAAAACUCCGGUGGUAUAAGAUGGACCCGCGUUGGAUUAGCUAGUUGGUGGGGUAACGGCCCACCAAGGCGACGAUCCAUAGCCGGCCUGAGAGGGUGAACGGCCACAUUGGGACUGAGACACGGCCCAGACUCCUACGGGAGGCAGCAGUGGGGAAUAUUGCACAAUGGGGGAAACCCUGAUGCAGCGACGCCGCGUGAAGGAAGAAGUAUCUCGGUAUGUAAACUUCUAUCAGCAGGGAAGAUAGUGACGGUACCUGACUAAGAUGCCCCGGCUAACUACGUG